rnacentral:misc_RNA from 1 species
GGCUAUAAAGGUUCAAUCUUUAAACUCAAACAGCAAAGUUGAUUUAAGAUCAAGUAUCACAAGAGUACAAUUCAUCCAAUGGUACAAGUCUAAAUUACAAACAAGGACAACAACCACACAAUCUCAAGUGGUGUAGUGAACAAUGAAAAAGGAAUUAAACUAUCAAGCAAGAGAAUGGUAAUGAUGGUAGUGUGGUUCACUUUGAAUACAGAGGAUUGCAUAAAGAGCAUAGAUAAUUCCAGGAACAUAGCCCAAUAUGGUCAAAAUCAAGCAAAUCAAGAACUCCACAGUGCAGCAACCAUGGCGAAGGCAAACACCAAGAGGAGGAAGAAAGAUUGCUAGUAAAACUUCACACAGAAUUGCACAUCUUGAGUCCAUUCUUCAACACACAAGAGGAAUGGGGGUGGGGG